rnacentral:rRNA from 1 species
ACGGGGUGCAGCAGGCGCGAAAACUUUACAAUGUGGGCAACCGCGAUAAGGGGACCUCGAGUGCCAGGAUACAAUUCUGGCUGUCGCGAUGCCUAAAAAGCAUUGUAUAGCAAGGGCCGGGCAAGACCGGUGCCAGCCGCCGCGGUAACACCGGCGGCUCGAGUGGUAACCGCUAUUAUUGGGUCUAAAGGGUCUGUAGCCGGCCGAAUAGGUCUCUUGGGAAAUCCGGCAGCUCAACUGUCGGGCUUUCAGGAGAUACUGUUCGGCUCGAGGCCGGAAGAGGUGAGAGGUACUUCAGGGGUAGGGGUGAAAUCUUGUAAUCCUUGAAGGACCACCAGUGGCGAAGGCGUCUCACCAGAACGGUCCUGACGGCAAGGGACGAAAGCUGGGGGCACGAACCGGAUUAGAUACCCGGGUAGUCCCAGCCGUAAACGAUACUCGCUAGGUGUCAGCCACGGUGCGACCGUGGUUGGUGCCGUAGGGAAGCCGUGAAGCGAGCCACCUGGGAAGUACGGCCGCAAGGCUGAAACUUAAAGGAAUUGGCGGGGGAGCAC